GACGAACGCUGGCGGCGUGCUUAACACAUGCAAGUCGAACGGAAAGGCCCUGCUUUCGCGGGGUGCUCGAGUGGCGCACGGGUGAGAAACCUGUGAGUAACCUGCCCUUGACUUUGGGAUAACUUCAGGCAACUGGGGCUAAUACCGGAUAGGAGCUCCUGCUGCAUGGUGGGGGUUGGAAAGUUUCGGCGGUUGGGGAUGGACUCGCGGCUUAUCAGCUUGUUGGUGGGGUAGUGGCUUACCAAGGCUUUGACGGGUAGCCGGCCUGAGAGGGUGACCGGCCACAUUGGGACUGAGAGACGGCCCAGACUCCUACGGGAGGCAGCAGUGGGGAAUAUGGCACAAUGGGCGGAAGCCUGAUGCAGCAACGCCGCGUGCGGGAUGACGGCCUUCGGGUUGUAAACCGCUUUCGCCUGUGACGAAGCGUGAGUGACGGUAAUGGGUAAAGAAGCACCGGCUAACUACGUG
rnacentral:rRNA from 1 species